AGAAAACAGACUUAACUAAUUAAAAAUUACUAAAUUUAUUAUUAGAACAUAGAAAGUCUUGUUUUCAAAGAGGGAGGUAGCAAGCCCAUGAUUCCUUAUUCCUGAAAUUGGUUCCUGGUUUUUUGCUGUCUUCUCUGCAAUAAGAAGAUGAGGUGCCUAAACAUGACUAGAGCAAGGAUAUGACAAAUGAAAGAAGCUGCAAUGAAUGCUAAUAAAGAUGCUACAAAGAAUGUUGAUGCCAUGGGCCACAAUGGCUCUUGUAACUUUAAUUUCAUGUUUUUCAACAAAUAAAGCAACUGCUAGUCUAGCGAUUGCAAAACCUAACUGCCCCAAUAUAUGUGGGAAUGUGAGUGUUCCUUACCCUUUCGGGAUUGGUGAUCCAAAUUGUGCAUUUAGCUCCGACUUUUUACUCCACUGCAACAAUACUAGUGGUUUUGCAUAUCUAUAUCUGGGUAAUAUACCCAUUCUCAAAUUCUUUCAAGAUGAAGCUGCAAUGAUCAUUAGUGUAGAAUCAGGAUAUGACUGUUAUAGCUAUGGCGAGCUGGUUUCUUCCCAUGGUAACAUUAUCACAUUAGGGUCACACAACCUCUUCACGUUUUCAUACACACGAAACAAGCUUGUGGGUCUUGGUUGUGAUACUUUAGCUCUUAUUUCAGAGUUAAAUAGUGAUCGUGCUACUAGAAUCAGUUGUACCUCAUUUUGUGAUGGAGCAAUGAACACAGCGAAGGAUGUUAAUUCUUGCUCUGGAGCUGGAUGUUGCCAAACCUCAAUUCCAGAUGGACUUCAAAGUUUUGAAAUCGGAAUUGGGAGUAUGUCAAAUUAUAGUAAGAAGUUGAGCAGCAUUUGCAACUAUGCCUUGUUGAUUGAUCACCUAGAUCCAAGUUUGGGUAGCAUUUUAAAAACCAAUCUCAAUCAUCACCCAGCCAACACUACCAUCAAAACGCAUGUAGUGGUUGACUGGGUCAUAGACAACAAGACAUGUGUAGCUGCUAGUACAGAGUCAUCUCUUUAUGCUUGUGGCCUUAACACUUUAUGCAUUGACUAUAACUCUGGAUAUCGUUGCGUAUGCAAAGAAGGGUUCCAAGGGAACCCUUAUCUUCAAGGGUGUGAAGGUAUGUUUCUCUUCUGCCAGAGCAUUGGUUUGAGUAUGUUUAUAUUAUACUACCAUUUUUAGUAAAAGACUAAUGAUAAAAAGGUAAAAUAUUUUUGUGUUUUUUCAAUUUUAUCAUAAUUAUCAAAAGUUAUUGCAAUUGUAUUUAUUUGUCAAUUAAAGUUUUAAUUUUAUUUCUUGAUUGACGCACAACCACUCCCAAGAAUGCAUCUCCAUUACUAAUAACACCUUCUAAGUUUCAUUUUGACAGUUAUUAAUUAUAAAAUAGUAAUAAAACUUAAUGGUAGUAAAGAGAGAAACUGGAUAAACAAAAUCGCCUGAUUGAGGAUUUAUUUUUAUAAUUAGGCUUUAGAUUUAUAAUUUAAAUAUAUUAUAUAAUAAUUUAACCUAUCAAUUUGAUAACCUAAUAUUUAAGCUUGUGAUAUAUUUUCAGAUAUUAAUGAGUGUCUUUCUCCGCAAAUUUAUCCAUGUGAUGGGUCUUGUACCAACACAGAGGGAAAUUACGCUUGUCGUUGCCCACCAUUCAUGCACGGAGAUGGUAAACUGAGUUGCAAAGGAAUUCGCAUAGCCACCCUGGCUGCUGGUAUAAGCUCAGGCUUUGGAUUGAUAUUGUUAUUUGUUGCAUUCUACGUUCUGCACAAAUAUAUGAGGAAAAAGCGUCAAAUUAGAUGUAGAAAGAUAAUUUUUAAGAAAAAUGGUGGCUUGCUAUUAGAACAGCAAAUCUCUUCAAGAAAUGAAGGGAAACUUGACAGGGCAAGGAUUUUCACUGCAGAAGAAUUGGAGAAAGCCACCGACUCAUACAAUGAGAACCGAAUUCUAGGGCGAGGAGGACAGGGCACUGUUUACAAAGGAAUGCUAACAGAUGGAACUGUUGUAGCUGUGAAAAAAUCAGGAAAGAUGGAUCAAGAUCAAAGCCAAACUGUGCACUUCAUAAAUGAACUUGUGAUUCUUUCUCAGAUUAAUCACAAGCAUGUGGUCAAACUAUUAGGCUGUUGUUUAGAAACCCAAGUUCCUCUUAUAGUAUAUGAAUUUAUUUCCAACGGCACACUAUGGAGUCACCUCCAUGAUCAUUCAGAGGAAGAAUUUCUUCCUCUUCGAUGGUCUGAUCGCUUAAGGAUUGCUAGAGAAGUUGCUAUGGCGUUAGCCUACAUGCAUUCUUCUGCUUCUAUACCAAUUUAUCAUCGAGAUAUCAAGUCUAGCAACAUUCUAUUGGAUGAAAAACUUAGAGCAAAGGUAUCAGAUUUUGGGAUUUCAAGAUCAGUUCCAGGUGAAAAGACUCACUUGACCACUUUAGUUCAAGGUACCUUUGGAUACUUGGAUCCUGAAUAUUUUCAAUCAAACCAGUAUACAGACAAAAGUGAUGUGUAUAGUUAUGGGGUAGUUCUUGUUGAGCUUCUGACGAGGCAAAAGCCAAUUCCCAGUACUAUUAUAGAAGGAGAGAGGGGUUUAGCUGCUGAGUUCAUGUCAGCUAUAGAAGAGAAUCGUCUCUAUGAUGUUGUUGACCCUCAAGUUUUGGCUGAGGGAGAAGAAAGGGAGUUGAUUGUAGUUGCCAACCUUGCAAAAGAAUGCUUAAGAUUAAAUGGGAAGAGACGACCAACAAUGCCAGAUGUUGUAUUGGAGUUGGAGAAUUUGGAAAGAUCUCAAAACCAUCUACCUCCUAAGCACAACAGUUUUUGGAAUGAGGAUUACAUAGAAACAUCAAGAAAAUGGGAUGCUAAUUCAACACAAAAUGAAAUUAGAGGAUUCAUGAUGAUGAGCAGAAAAGAAUUAGAUCAAUUACCAUUACUUGAGGAUGAUGAUGAUGAUGUCUCCAAUGAGUCCUAUCAGCAUAUUACUACAUAAAUUGGAUUGUUGUUAGAAGAUUGAUAAUCUUUUCAUCCUUAAUUAAGAGGAACUUAUGUGUAGUGCCAUAAUUGGAUUAGAUGAUUGAUAAUCUAAUACCUCAAUACUAGAAUUAAUCUUGACUUUGACCAUCUUACAUGAUUGGAAGACAAA
rnacentral:misc_RNA from 1 species